rnacentral:lncRNA from 1 species
AUUUUGCCAGAUGCCAGCUUUGUCUUCUCGUGCCAUUUCUGCAAGAUGUGGUUCCGGUACGUCCUGUAGUCGGAAUACCUCUUGGCUAUGAACUCCGGGAUGUCCUCCGCCUUCAGCUUUCGUUUGGGAGGGCGCUUUCUCUUCUCCUGAGCUUCACCCGCUCGCUCCUCAUCGCUGCUGCUGGGGAUUUCAUCAUCACUCUCAGGUUUUGAUUGUUUUCCAUCUACCAGGUGCCUCGUGCCGGGGCACUGAUAAAGCAGCUCAUCCUGAAUGUCCACCAGUACUCUCAGCAACGUGUCUACGGCUUUACAACAGCUCUCCACAGCACUGUCGAAUUCCUGUCCACCUUCCUUUCUGAAGAGGGGAAAGGUAUCUGGCUGAGGAAGCCGGUUGACUAUCACAAGUGCCUUCUGCAUCUUGAUUCUGCCUUCCAAGAUCUGAUCCCACAGCGCGAGCUGAUUCUUCACCGCUUUUCCUUUUUCCACUUCAUCACUCGUUUGUCCUUUUGAGAAUGUCAUCACCCCCCCAUCAUCCUCGUUGUCAUUGGUGUCUUUUACGUGGUCAUGGUUCUCCCCCUCGUAUUUCUCAUCAUCGCUUCCUUCUUCCAUGCUGGCAUCAUCUUCAUCUUCUCCAUCACUGCUCCCAACGUCAUCCAUCCCCUCUGCAAAUUUCUCAAAGUCUGUGAUAUUCUGGAAACUGAACUUUGGUGCUUUGGCAGAGGAAUCUCUCUCUUCAUCAUCUUCCAGGUUGUCCUCCUGGUCACUGCCAGCACUGCUGGGCUGCUCCUCUGUUUUACUGCCCGAGCUGCCAUUGUCUUCUGAAUCUUCACUGCCACUAUACCACUCAUC